ACCCUCUGUUGUCGCCGCCUCAGUUAAAGUUAAGAUUGGUCUCUUUGGAAGCUUGAGGAUUUAAAGUGAUGAAUUUUUCAUCAAGGAUAAGAGGAUUUUCCAACCUCCAUCUGAGUAACCUUGGAUCAAGUUAAUUGGAGAAUUUUUACUGUCAACUAGGAACUACCUUUGUUUGGCUAAAAUCUCCAGGCGAAGGUAAAGGUAGAGGAAAGCUGGCGAGCGACAGAGAAGGAUCCGUGACAUGCCAUAUGGGGACUCAGUUUUGCUUCCGCGUUUAUGUUUCAGUGUUUUAAUAUUCCGUUUUUAAUGAAAAUUUAUUCUUCCCUCGUUUCAAAAAAAGUGUCUCUUGUCAUCGUUCCGUUUUAGUAACGACCUCAGCUUAGUAUAAAGAGUUGGGUCGUUACAGUUGGUAUCAGAGCGUCAGCUUUUAGGUUCUGUAGACUAACUUACGAUGUGAGUCUCUGAUUUUGUCUCUAUAUAUGGCUAUUACGGUCCUUCGUCACUCGCCAGGUAUGUAUUUUAUGAUACAUGAUUAUGAAUAUGCACGUGACCUUGCCUGUAUUAAACUAGAACUGCAUGAAUGUUAUGAUUUAAAUGGUGAUGGUUUUGGUGUUGAAGUUUAAGAAAAAUGUUGCCACGUAGAGGUGCUCAAUGAGGUGGUUGAGUAGGCAAAAGAGUAGAACGUGUUCAGCCUGAUGAACUGCUUUGUGACUGGAUAUCUAAGACAUUAGUUAUGUUGGUGGUUUUAAAGGAAACUAAAGGCAUGGUUAAGUUCAAGUAUAUCAAACACAUUUGACGGUGUUUAGAAUUGAGUUGCUGGAGAAGGAACAAAGUAAACUUUAGUGCAUAGUUAUUUUGGUGAGAUUUCAAGAAAUUGUUUUGAGUUUACC